rnacentral:rRNA from 1 species
GCUUGUCUCAAAGAUUAAGCCAUGCAUGUCUAAGUAUAAACAAAUCUAUACGUGAAACUGCGAAUGGCUCAUUAUAUCAGUUAUAGUUUAUUUGAUGGUUCAUACUACUUGGAUAACCGUAGUAAUUCUAGAGCUAAUACAUGCGUAAAAUCCCGACUCUCGCGGGGAGGGAUGUAUUUAUUAGAUAAAAAACCAAUGCGGGGCAACCCGGUUUUGUGGUGAAUCAUAGUAACUUUUCGGAUCGCAUAGCUUCACGCUGGCGAUAGUUCAUUCAAAUUUCUGCCCUAUCAGCUUUCGACGGUAGUGUAGUGGACUACCGUGGCGUUAACGGGUGACGGAGAAUUAGGGUUCGAUUCCGGAGAGGGAGCCUGAGAAACGGCUACCACAUCCAAGGAAGGCAGCAGG